rnacentral:rRNA from 1 species
UACGUAGGUGGCAAGCGUUGUCCGGAGUUAUUGGGCGUAAAGCGCGCGCAGGCGGUGCGGUAAGUCUCUGGUGAAAGCGCUCGGCUUAACUGGGCGAGGGCCGGGGAGACUGCCACGCUGGAGGGGAGCAGAGGCGAGUGGAAUUCCGGGUGUAGUGGUGAAAUGCGCAGAUAUCAGGGAGGAACACCGGUGGCGAAGGCGGGUCUCUGGGCAGUAACUGACGCUGAGGAGCGAAAGCGUGGGGAGCGAACAGG